rnacentral:misc_RNA from 1 species
GAUGAAGAACGCAGCGAAAUGCGAUAAGUAAUGUGAAUUGCAGAGUUCAGUGAAUCAUCGAAUGUUUGAACGCUCAUUGCGACCGUCAGUAUUCUGACGGGCAUGCCUGUCCGAGCGUCAUUUCAACCCUCAAGCACUGCUUGGCGUUGGCGGAUUGCGUGCCCUCGCGGCGCUGCAACCGCCCAAAUACAGUGGCGGUCCCGCUGCGGCUCCCUUUGCGUAGUAACUCACCUCACACUGGACCGGGCGGCGGCCUGCCGUAAAACCCCAACUCACGAAAUGUUGACCUCGGAUCAGGUAGGAAUACCCGCUGAACUUAAGCAUAUCAAUAAGCGGAGGA